rnacentral:lncRNA from 1 species
AGAGAUGUCAGGUGAGCUGCACUGUACAUAGAGAAGAGUCAGUUCUGUGUGGUUCUAAGUGAAAUCAAUCACGGCUCAGUUCAGCAUUCACGGUUCACCGCGAACCACUGCCAAGUGGUUUUCAGGGGACCCAACUUCACUGCAGAAAGGAGCUGUUAUUUAAAGUGGGGGCAUUAAGGCAGAAGGAGAAAAAGAAGGAAACCUCUCCUCAGGCUGCUGUUGUUCUCCUUAACCUGCCCUCAGGAGAUCACCCAGUCCCUUCCCAGAGGCGGUUUGAUGAAAAGGCAAGAAAAUAUGAGUGAAGUCACAAAUGUCACCAAGGAAAGGAAGAACAGAAAAAUAACUUGAAUAUUCAAGAUGGGCAGCCUAGUUCAACGACACAUCAAGCCUUGUGAAAAGGUGACUCCGAGGAGUUUACCUUCGGGCAGCUCAUACACCAGCUGACAAUCUGUCCUCACCCCGAGACGGCAAGCCAAGCUCAGGUGUGUUACGGCUCCACCAGAAAAAGAUUAUUUGCCUUCUUUCCCUCGGUGAACAGCUGAAGCCAAAACGCAGCCCCUGGCACUCCAGCUGUACUCCGUCACAAGGCAGGGCCAGGAAGGUUCUAAUUCUUGCUUCCCAGAUCACACACUUUACAACUGAAGAGCGUCUCGGUUUUGCUCUUGAUCCUACUUUAACCUUUGCCAGCUCCUAGUCCUUUACUAAAGCAUUGAAAACUGUAAAAAGCCUCCUCAGUUCAAAUGCCCAUAAGCAGAGCCCCGAUCGAAUGGAAUGACAUCCCAUUAAACCAACUACUAGGCACUGAGAAAGGGAAAAAGAAAGGGGGCUGAGUGAGGGGGUCGAGAGGGAGGGACGUGGGAAUGCUUUUAAGUAACAAUGGGGAAUGAUUUUCAAGAUAUAUUGGGGGGAAUGGGAGAUGCGCAAAAUGGAGCAGUACCUUUUGUGUUUGAAAAGGUAGAAAAGCCUAAUGACUUCCAUACUCAUGUAGAGACCCUGAAGAUGACACUCAGAUCCACUAACAGGAGAACCGGGGUCCAACCGUGUAUCAAACCAGCAAGAUGACAGGCAUGCGAAAGAGGAUUCUCAUGACUGCCUUUCUCAUAUGUCUUAUUUUUGAACUAUAUAAAUAUGUAUAAAUAUAUUACCUAUUCAGAGAAAGGAAAAACAGUAGGAUGCUAAAAGAAUGGAGACAUAGACCAGAAAAUCUGGCCAUGGGCAAUGUAAGUUGAAAGAAUAUAUGUCAAUAAUUCAAAAAACU